GGGCGGGGUUACUAAGGAAGGAAAUGGCGUAACUAUGAUGCACAAGGUGCCGGAUGAGAACUUGCUUGUGCUUAAGCAUCUCAGGUACAAAGAUGAAGCAUUUCCAUUGUUGAAUGAUGCUCCAAAACUUUUUGGCACAGUUGGAGAUUGUUUAUACGAGCACAUCAAAUAGGGCAACUUUUAUAAAAAGAAAAGCCACUAGGGCAGAGUGAAGUAGAACCAAUUAAUCUGACAGUCAGUAGAAGAACCAAACUCAUGUAACUGAGACAAGAAAGUAACUACAAUUUAUGGAUAUAUGUGGCCAUUCAUCUUGUGGUUUAUGAAGAGAAAAUACUAAACACAGAGCCCAUAUUUAUUUACUCUCAUUUUUGCUGUGUCUUCUAAAAAAGUGUCCUGGGAUAAAGUACUGUUUUCUGCCCUAUCUAAAGAAAACGAGUUUAACCAUAUUUCCUGUAUCCUUAUAAGGCAAACAAGUUGAUGUGAAUGUAGUAGCUGUUUCUAACAGUUUGUGAGUUGUGAGCCCAGAUUAAAAGAUCGUGGGCUUUCA